rnacentral:rRNA from 1 species
AAUGAACGCUGGCGGCGCGCCUAAUACAUGCAAGUCGAGCGAGAAGACGUAGCAAUACGUUUGUAAAGCGGCGAACGGGUGAGGAAUACAUGGGUAACCUACCCUCGAGUGGGGAAUAACUAGCCGAAAGGUUAGCUAAUACCGCGUACGCUCCUUGGACUUCGGUUCAGGGAGGAAAGCGAUACCGUGGGUAUCGCGCUCUUGGAUGGGCUCAUGUCCUAUCAGCUUGUUGGUGAGGUAACGGCUCACCAAGGCUUCGACGGGUAGCUGGUCUGAGAGGACGAUCAGCCACACUGGCACUGCGACACGGGCCAGACUCCUACGGGAGGCAGCAGUAAGGAAUAUUGCGCAAUGGGCGAAAGCCUGACGCAGCGACGCCGCGUGGGGGAUGAAGGUCUUCGGAUUGUAAACCCCUUUUA